rnacentral:rRNA from 1 species
UACGUAGGGUGCAAGCGUUGUCCGGAAUUAUUGGGCGUAAAGAGCUCGUAGGUGGCCUGUCGCGUCGGCUGUGAAAACUCGGGGCUCAACUCCGAGCUUGCAGUCGAUACGGGCAAACUAGAGUGUUGCAGGGGAGACUGGAAUUCCUGGUGUAGCGGUGAAAUGCGCAGAUAUCAGGAGGAACACCGGUGGCGAAGGCGGGUCUCUGGGCCGAUACUGACGCUGAGGAGCGAAAGCGUGGGGAGCGAACAGG